UACCAGCACCCCGAGUGGUCGGGACGAUUAUUGGGCCUAAAGCAUCCGUAGCCGGUCAUGCAAGUCUUCCGUUAAAUCCAGCCGCUUAACAGGUGGGCUGCGGAAGAUACUAUAGAGCUAGGAGGCGGGAGAGGCAAGCGGUACUCGAUGGGUAGGGGUAAAAUCCGUUGAUCCAUUGAAGACCACCAGUGGCGAAGGCGGCUUGCCAGAACGCGCUCGACGGUGAGGGAUGAAAGCUGGGGGAGCAAACCGG
rnacentral:rRNA from 1 species